rnacentral:lncRNA from 1 species
AAGGAUCUCGAAGACCCACCAAAGCACGAAAGCCGGGAUCUUUCAGAAAAUGAAUUCCUAUUCGAAGGGUGCAUAACCGCAUGGAUAAGCUCACACUAACCCGUCAAUUUGGGAUCCAAUUCGGUGUUUUCCUAUUUCUCUAUCCCUAUCUCGUAGGUAUAGCGUUUGAAUCAAUAGAGAACCCUUUCUUCUGUAUCUGUAUGAAUCGAUAUUAUUACAUUCCAAUUCCUUCCCGAUACCUUACCUCCCAAGGAAAAAACCGAAGAUUUCACAUAGUACUUUUGAUCGAAAAAUCAAUCUGAUUUAUUUCCCACCUUUGGCUCAAUGAGAAAAUGGAUCAGAUUCUACAGGAUCAAACAUGUUGGAUUUAAGGAAUGAUGGAAGAAAAUCAAA